rnacentral:misc_RNA from 1 species
CGGCCGAAUACAGCAAAAUAGAUUUGAAUUCAUGUGUGCCAAAACAAAUUGACGUCUAAAAAAACAAAGAACGUCGUUUUGACAGACAACAAACAACAAUAAAAGUUUCAAAAAUUUUGAAAUAAAUUAGUAAUGAAAAAUAAACAAAGCCUGCAAAACUGUGUCCUUAUCCGGGUAUCCUUUUUCAAUGGUUCACGUGUCGUUGAGUAUUUAAACUGUUUCUGAUUAUGGAGUUAAAAAAUGCUGGAAAAAACUGUAAUGAAUGCAGGCAUUCAUUCAAGGCAUGCGAGUGUAAGUUCUGUUCAAAAUGUGGUACACCUUUUAUGAAGUAUUUUGGUACUAGCAUUAUCAAGGGAAGGUCACACUGCCGAUCAUGUUUAUCAGCAGCUUGUAUAGCAUGCAUAAUGAUUCUUGAUGACCAUGAAAAGGUUUGCACAAGAUGCCACAUAAAACAAUGUGAGGCAGAAAUUAAAACUGAAAAAGCUUUGUUAGCUAUAUGUGAAGAAAAGUUUGGUGAAGUUCAAAGUAACUUAUCAGUUAUAAAUGGCUUGAAAACAAAUAAGCAGAAAGUUGAUGCUAUAUUUGAUGCUGUGAAAAGAGGGCAAGAUUGUUUGGUAAUAACAUUGAUCAACCUGGGUUGUGAUGUUAAUACUGUUGAUUCCAAUAAAAAUACUUUAUUGCAUUAUGCUUGUGAAGGUGGAUACUUGGCUUGUGCAGCUUUGUUACUAGAAAAAGGCGUUGAUAUAAAUGCAGUUAAUGAUAAGGGUUGGUCUGCUCUUCAUUCAGCUGUUUCCAAAGCUGAAACAGAUAAACAUGUUGAAUCUAUUGAAUUUUUAUUAGAAAUGGGUGCUGAUGUGUUGUUGGAAAAUCAUAAAAAUGAAACAGCAACUGACCUAGCUAAACGCUGUGCUGUAAAUAAGAAGGUCAUUCAAAUUUUGGUAGCUGCGGAAAUUGAAGCUGCUGCUCUGGAAUUGGACUCAAAGAUCAAACUUAUUGAAUGCAAUAACCCAUCUCCAAAGGAAAGACGUUUGUUUCGUCUCAUAACAACAAUAAUUAACUACUUGAAAGAUCAACAUUGCAAUAAAAUUGAAGUUAAACAUAAAAUGAGUCGCUGUGAAGUAAGAAAAAGUGUUUCUGAAACUAAUCUCCAGUCAUGUGUUAGUCCUGAAACAACAAACGAACUACUUAGAAACAAUACAUUUUCAAGUUCUAAACUUUUUAAGCAAAAAUCAAAAUCAUUCCUGCAGAUAUUAAAUGAAAAAAGUGAGUGGGAGACACGAACACGAAAUCUAAUGCAAACAAUAGCAUUUUCAAAUACUGAACAUCAAAAAGAAAUUGCUUUAUUAAAAAAUGAAAUUCACACCAUUAAUGAAGAAAAUGCAAAGAAAGCAGCUAAAGUUGAAUUACUUUUUGCAGAAAAAAUGUCCAAACUUAAACAAGACUUAUUAAUGAAACUACCUUAAAUAAAUUAUUUCAUCUUCAACAGCAAAACUAUGCCAAGUACUUGUUUUGUUAACGGUUGCUCAAGUAGAGCUGACCGUGAAAAGAUGUCUUUCCAUAGCUUCCCCGCUAUUAUAAAACAUCAAGAUAAUAAAACGCUAGAGUUGUCAGCUAAGAGGCGCUGCGAGUGGAUUGCAGCAGUUAAUAGACAAAAAAAAACUAACCAAGUUCUUGAAAAUAUGCUCUGCUCACUUUAAUUCGGGUAAACCAGCUGCAUUAUAUGGCGUCACCAGUCUGGGUUCCUAGUUUAUUAUUGUCUGCAUCAGAAAGGCAACCACAAGAUAAAGAGACAGACACCUCCACUCUCCACAGAACUUUAAAAGUUGCAAGGCACCACGAACCAUAAAUAAUACUGCAACAGCUUCAUAUGCUUCUAGAAGAGUUCAUUUGGUGGCACAAGAUCAACAUACAACAUACUUGAAAUACAUGUAAAAGCCCUUGAAAUGUUACAACUUAUUUCGUAAAUUUUUUGAUUUGAUUCGUAUUCUCUACUUCCUACUUAUCUUAAAGCCAACGAAGACUUUCAUAUCAAACUUUUAUCAAAUGCAUACACUAUUCUUCGUUGCAGGAUUCGAUGUAAAAAGCAGCUACUUUUAAACAAACAGCUUUUUACUUUAAAGUUUAACUUAGGAACAGCAACCAUGCAAGGAGUCAAAUUGUAAAUAAAAAGUUUAUGUUUUAUGAAAAACAUUCAAGAAUGUCUGCUAAAGUUAAACAUAAGUUUUCAACAAUUUAAAGUUUAUA